UACAGAGGUGCAAGCGUUAAUCGGAUUUACUGGGCGUAAAGCGUGCGUAGGCGGUUCAUUAAGUCGGUUGUGAAAUCCCUGGCUUAACCUGGGAACUGCAGUCGAUACUGGUGAACUAGAAUGCGGUAGAGGGUGGCGGAACUCCGGGUGUAGCGGUGAAAUGCGUAGAUAUCCGGAAGAACACCGAUGGCGAAGGCAACCACCGUGGCCUGCGAUUGACGCUGAGGUACGAAAGCGUGGGGAGCAAACAGG
rnacentral:rRNA from 1 species